CAGCCAUUUGGGGUUUUAAGCCAUAAACGAUUUUUCUUGUUGCAGGGGAUUGCAGUGGCAAAGCUAGGCUAGGUCUUGGAGGCUGGUGUCAGGCGAAGCGGGUGAAGGCAGGAGGCUGAUGGAGAUGGGGGGAAGAAAAGCCGAAAUGGAUUCACGGUGCCUUGGAUGGAGGACGAGAGGGGAAUUGCAAGCUCCUUCAACUCACUCUGUCCGGUGAGAAGUGAUCAAGCCUGGGCUGACAAGAGGCUCAGGGAGCCCUCACGUUCUUUCGCUUUUUUACCUGCCAAUCAAACUGCUACAAGACAACACCCUGAUCUGGCAUGGACAUCGCGGGUCCAAGCCUGUAGCCCCAAAUCGGAUAAUCUGUGCAGCUGAUAACAAGCAAAAGAGAAGCCAGGCAACAGCCAUAUUACAGAAGAAAACAAUCAACUCUGAGAUCCAACUUAGAAAUAAUGUUUCACUCAAGAUAAGGCUUGUGGUUUAAGAGAUUCUGGUCUGGCUUUCCUUAUUUUAAGACUUCUGUCAUUUCUUUUCAAAACCAAAGGAGGAUCUCAUUUCCUGUUUGAUAGUUCCUCAUGCUUUGCCAGCCUCCGGGUCUUUAAGGAAACUUGCCAAGAGUUCCAGGCUGGGAAGGACAGUCAGAGUUCGUCAUAGAGAAUGAGCUGGCACCACAGUUGUAGUGACUCACCAAUCCUGGUUGCCAUUUUGCAAUGGCAAGAACUACACUAUCUAAUUGAAAGAGCUGUGUUUUAGCAAAGUGCAGUUGGAUCACACGGCAAAAUCAUCUCCAAGUAUCUCUCUGAUCUUCCCUUUCACUGGCUGUUUUGAACACAAGACAAGAAAGGAAACUAUAAUCUGAAUUAUGUUUUGUUUUUAAAAAAUUAAGAUGAAUAGGUACCUGGUUUUAUGUCCAUUCUGUUCUAGGAAUUUAGUGGUGAUUGCAAAACAGUGAAAAUAAGUCACAGCAAAAUGAACAUUCAAGGUGAGGUUAAAACAUCCCUCUGAAAUUUCAGUAUGCAUUUUUGGAGUGUCAGUUACUAUAUUUCUGUAAUUCAUCAUUUUUUUUUCCUUGGCUUAGAAUGAAGAUGAGAAAUAAUAUUUAGACCAAAGACAUUGUUUUGUUAUAUAGCCACUGCUUUUUAAAAUGCAAAUUCACACUCCCCUCACCAAUGUUUGAUCAUUUGUACGUGCUCAUGGUCUCACACACACACACACACACACGCACACACACAAAACAGGCACGCAUCACCCAGAUGCUGGAGAAACUCCUUUCAAGACUUCUAGGACCUGGGUCAUGUAAGAGGUAGAUGAGAAAAUUAAAAUAAAGGAAGUCCAGAGCAGUAGCAAUAGUAGGAGUCAAUGAUUUCACUUUACAAAAAGUCACUGUACGGUACACAGGUAUUUUUAAAAGCAAGUAUUAUGAUGAUUAAAAAAUAUUAUACAUCUGAUUUAUUACAGUUCUCUAAUUCCAAGUCACAUACGGGAGCCAUUUUAAAGUAUUUUGUAUUACAAUCUAUCACCAAAAAUCAACUAGUAGAGUUUUAUAAUGUUACCACAUGGGGAAUUACAUUUUAAUUCAUAAUUCUUUCUAUUGUUGUGGAACUUUAGGACAAGACAGCAUUUGGUAUUAACAUGGAAGAAUAUUCUAUGGCUUUUUUUUAGCUUAAAUGUAUAUUGCUUUAAAAUAAAGUGCACAUUGUAUUUUUUACCUCCUAGUGUUCUUUUGUUAUAUAGAGAGUAUUUUUACAAUAUUGUUUUUGGUGUAUACAUUAUUUUAUUGUCAUUUGGUAAAAGAUAAAAUAUAUAAUAAUAAUAAUGGCCCCUUGCUUUUCUCCUAAUUUUAUUAUUUCAAGUCAAGCAAAAAUGGACACUUUUCUCUCAGGAAAAAAAUAUUGAGUAUAUUUUUGAUGCAAAAAUGAUUAUUUAGUUACAGUAUUUUUCCCUAAUAGAUUGGCAUUUAUGAUGGAUCUUAUUUCAAAGCUGAUUAUUCUCAAAGAAAAGCAGAGAGAUGUUAGAAUUUCCAAGGAAAUUACGUUAUUUAAAAAGUAUUUUAAAUAUUAUUCAAAUUGUUGUCAGCUAUUG